rnacentral:rRNA from 1 species
CCCGCUGAAAUUUAAGCAUAUCAGUAAGCGGAGGAAAAGAAACUAACCAGGAUUCUCUUAGUAACGGCGAGUGAACGGAGAUUAGCCCAGCGCCGAAGCCUAUCUGCAUUUGUAGACAGGGCAAUGUGGCGUUUAGGUGCAAGCCUGGGGACGCUAUUCUACUCGAAGUCCAGCUCCGAUCAUGGCUUGGAUUUGUCCCAUAGAGGGUGAAAGGCCCGUACGAGUAGAAAUUGUGUAUCAUAGUGUCCCUUAGAUGCUUGUGCUUUGGAGUCGGAUUGCUUGAGAAUGCAGUCCAAAGUGGGUGGUAAACUCCAUCCAAGGCUAAAUACUGGCACGAAUCCGAUAGUAGACAAGUACCGCGAGGGAAAGUUGAAAAGUACUCUGAAGAGAGAGUAAAUAGUACGUGAAACCGCUUGUAUAGAAGCUGGUGGAGUCAAGCUUCUUGUUGUACGAAUUGGCCAGUGGAAUGUCUUUCUCGGGUUCAUGGACUUACUGUUUUGCAAAUAAACUGGUGGUUCGCCGUCUCUCUUAAACAGGGCAGCUUAUUUGAGUAUGUCCUGUAUCCGAUUCUCCUAUGCUAUUUCGUAUGACUAAUGUCACAGUCAAUGUACCUCGUAACGCGUGGUAGUUAAACCAUGUUUGGUCAGACCUCGUGUUUGCUCAUCAUGGGACGGCAGGUGGAUACUUGGGCGUUCUGCUCAUAGUGUCGUAAAAUAAGCUAUCGCUUGCUGGCUACCUCGUAUUUGUUAUCAGGUGUAUUGGUCCUUUGGUAGUGGUGUCCUUCGGGUAUCCACUGCAAGAACCUGUGGUAUCGAGGUAGACUUUCCAUCAGACCCGUCUUGAAAACCACGGACCAA